rnacentral:lncRNA from 1 species
CAGAGAAGUGGAGCUCAGGGUGAAGCGGGAGGAGGAGGAGCGCAAACGCCGGGAGGAGAAGCGUCGCCAGCAGCAGCAGCAGGAGGAGCAGAAGCGGCGUCAGGAGGAGGAGGAGCUCUUUCGACGCAAGCAGGUGCGGCAGCAGGAACUGUUGCUGAAGCUGCUACAGCAGCAGCAGGCGACGAAUGUCCCUGUGCCCCCUGCACCCAGCUCCCCACCCCCACUCUGGGCUGGCCUAGCCAAGCAGGGCCUGUCCAUGAAGACUCUGCUGGAGCUGCAGAUGGAAAGUGAGCGCCAACUGCACAAGCAGCCGGCACCACGGGAGCCUCUGCGGGCCCAGGCCCCCAACCACCGAGUGGUGAGCACCUGCCCCAGGGAGCCCCUCUGCUGCAGCUCCAGGAGCACUGUGGUUGGGGGGAGGUGUCCCUGAGCUCAGACGCCUAGAGCUGAAGACCUCUUCCUUCCUUUCAUUAUUGGAAGGAUGGCCCCUCUCCUAGUCUUCACCUCAUCCCUCCCAUUAGCCCCCAAAUGAGCCUCCCUGCCUAGGUGUCCAGGGUCCCAUUUUAGAGCCCCCUGACUUCCUGCCGUUUACAGCAACUUGGGGGCUUGGGCACUGCCCCUCUGAACCAGUGGGUGUCUGAGGCUGGGCCACUGUGGGGCGGGCCAGACAAGAGUGGGGGCAGCAGCAGUGGCAACCUGGGACUCUGGGAAGACACUCUCAAGAGUGGCGGGAGCCUGGCCCGAAGCCUGGGCCUAAAGAACAGUCGGAGCAGCCCGUCUCUCAG